GAUAGUGUCUUCCACUAUCUAAUUAUAUUAUCAACUCCUUUUCUUUAACUUUGCUAAAGCCAUGCUUUCCACCUCUUCAACCACCACCCUUUGCUCCCCACCAAUACACCUAACUCUCCACACUUCAUUUUUUUUUAUUUCUCCACCACUACAUUACAUAUUCAGCACUACAUCUUGCAGAUUCCUCAUUAAGAAAUCCUCUCUCUCUAAUCUUCUAAAUUACCAUUUUCUUUCCUCCUACUCCUCACGGGUCCUUCAAAGAAAUUAUCAAGUUUGUUUCAAGUUCCAAAUCAAGAAGAAUCGAACUAUUGCCAACACCACCCCUCAUAUCAAGGUCCGGGCGACAGAAAGUGAAGCAGAAGAAGAAACGACUCCACGCCAGCUUUAAGAACAAUUGAGGUUGAGCAGGCGAUGGAAUGGAUUGGUGUUGAGCGGAUUUUCCUUUUGAUGUUUAUGUAAUGAAACCUUGAGUAUGCAUCUCCAUAUGCAUAACUCACACGUUUUUCCGCUGCAAAUACUCUGAAUUUGUUAUCGUAUUGUGGAACUUAUUACUCCUUCAUUUUGUUUAACUUUCAUUUGGGGUUUAGUCGUUAUGGCUGGCUCAUUUGUUAAUUACCCAAGUGGUUAUAUAUA